AGUGAACGCUGGCGGUAGGCCUAACACAUGCAAGUCGAACGGCAGCACAGUAAGAGCUUGCUCUUACGGGUGGCGAGUGGCGGACGGGUGAGGAAUACAUCGGAAUCUACUUUUUCGUGGGGGAUAACGUAGGGAAACUUACGCUAAUACCGCAUACGACCUACGGGUGAAAGCAGGGGAUCUUCGGACCUUGCGCGAUUGAAUGAGCCGAUGUCGGAUUAGCUAGUUGGCGGGGUAAAGGCCCACCAAGGCGACGAUCCGUAGCUGGUCUGAGAGGAUGAUCAGCCAAACUGGAACUGAGACACGGUCCAGACUCCUACGGGAGGCGGCAGUGGGGAAUAUUGGACAAUGGGCGCAAGCCUGAUCCAGCCAUACCGCGUGGGUGAAGAAGGCCUUCGGGUUGUAAAGCCCUUUUGUUGGGAAAGAAAAGCAGCAGGUUAAUACCCCGCUGUUCUGACGGUACCCAAAGAAUAAGCACCGGCUAACUUCGUG
rnacentral:rRNA from 1 species